rnacentral:rRNA from 1 species
UGAAGUUUUCGGAUGGAAUUCUAUAUAACCUAGUGGCGGACGGGUGAGUAACACGUGAGCAACCUGCCUAUCAGAGGGGGAUAACGAUUGGAAACGAUCGCUAAUACCGCAUGACAUAGCGGAAUCGCAUGGUUCUGUUAUCAAAGAUUUUAUCGCUGAUAGAUGGGCUCGCGUCCGAUUAGAUAGUUGGCGGGGUAACGGCCCACCUAGUCUUCGAUGGAUAGGGGUUCUGAGAGGAAGGUCCCCACAUUGGAACUGAGACACGGUCCAAACUCC